rnacentral:rRNA from 1 species
GAGAGGACUACCAUGGUUAUAACGGGUAACGGGGAAUUAGGGUUCGAUUCCGGAGAGGGGGCCUGAGAGAUGGCCACCACUUCCAAGGAAGGCAGCAGGCGCGCAAAUUACCCAAUCCCAAUUCGGGGAGGUAGUGAUAAGAAAUACCAGUACAGGGCCCUAUGGGUACUGUGAUUGGAAUGAAUACAAUUUAAAAACCUUAAUGAGGAACGAUUGGAGGGCAAGUCUGGUGCCAGCAGCCGCGGUAAUUCCAGCUCCAAUAGUGUAUAUUAAAGUUGCUGCAGUUAAAAAGCUCGUAGUUGGAUUUCGGUAAGUAAAAAUUUAACAUCCAUCUCUAAGAUGUGAUUUAAUUUUUAUUUCCUUCCUUUUGAAUACACUCCCUAAAAUUUAUUUUAGGGACUCAGUGUUUCAAAUCGUUUACUGUGAAGAAAUUAGAGUGUUCAAAGCAGGCGUAACCUAGCCUUUGAAUAUAUUAGCAUGGGAUAAUGAAAUAGGACUUUAGUCCUACUUUCGUUGGUCUAGGGCUGAAGUAAUGAUUAAUAGGGAUAGUUGGGGUCACUAGUAUUUAAUUGUCAGAGGUGAAAUUCUAAGAUUUAUUAAAGACUAACUACUGCGAAAGCAUUUGACAAGGAUGUUUUCAUUAAUCAAGAACGAAAGUUGGGGGAUCGAAGAUGAUCAGAUACCGUCGUAGUCUCAACCAUAAACUAUGCCGACCAAGGAUCCGGGGUUGUUAAUAUGGAUGACUCUCCGGGCACUUAUAGAGAAAUCAUAAGUAUUUGGGCUCCGGGGGGAGUAUGGUCGCAAGGCUGAAACUUAAAGGAAUUGACGGAAGGGCACCACAAGGAGUGGAACCUGCGGUUUAAUUUGACCCAACACGGGGAAACUUACCAGGUCCAGACACAGUGAGGAUUGACAGAUUGAGGGUUCUUUCUUGAUUCUGUGAGUGGUGGUGCAUGGCCGUUUCUAGUUGGUGGAGUGAUUUGUCUGGUUAAUUCCGUUAACGAACGAGACCUUAACCUAUUAAAUAGUUGAUUGAACUUGAUUUCUAAAAUCAAAUGUUCAACUAACUUCUUAGAGGGACUCUUCACUGAGAGAGUGAAUGGAAGUUUGAGGCAAAAACAGGUCUGUGAUGCCCUUAGAUGUUCUGGGCCACACGCGCGUUACACUGACAUAUUCAACGAGCAUUAUCCUUGCCCGUCGGGGUUGGGUAAUCUUUUAAAUGUAUGUCGUGCUGGGGAUAGAUCAUUGUAAUUAUUGGUCUUGAACGAGGAAUUCCUAGUAAGUGCGAGUCAUCAACUCGCGCUGAUUACGUCCCUGCCCUUUGUACACACCGCCCGUCGCUCCUACCGAUUGAAUGGUCCGGCGAGAACUCAGGAUGGAUAUGGAUUUUGGACACCGUUAGGUGCUCCAACCAUAUCCAGAAUUUGUUCAAACCUUACCAUUUAGAGGAAGGAGAAGUCGUAACAAGGUU